GAGGGUGUAGCUCAAAGUGAUAGAGUACAUGCUUAGCACGCAGGAGGUCCUGGGUCAAAUCCCAGUACCUCCC
rnacentral:tRNA from 1 species